CCAAAACCCCCCAUUUGUGGCUUUACAGCGUUUACGCACAAACUCUCUUUCUGAAAAUGGCGAAUGAACCACCGUCAUCCUCCUCGUGGCCAUGGUUCCUCCAGGCAGUGCCUCUCAUGGUAGUUGCAUUAAUCGCAGCUCACGUAUUCGCUCUGGUCUACUGGAUUUACAGAUUAGCGACCGAGAAACAGCCUCAAAGGAGGAAAGCACACUAAGGAGCGUCUGAUUUGGAUGCAGAAAGAUGAAGAGGGUUGGUCAAACCCUAAUCCUUCGAUUGCUCUGGAAAGAAAUACUAGCAAAUUACUAAUGAAAGCUUGUCCAUGAUUCCUUUCAUUUUUUUGGUGAAUCGACCUCUAUGUCAUAGGCAGGUGAAUUACUGAAUGGUCUUCAUAUAUUGGCCUACAUUCAGUUGCUGUUUGGGGCUAAAGAAUGUUGGUGUGCGUUGGUGCAAGGCCCAUGUUUAUUUGAUUUCCAGGGUGAGGUCGGCACUUGGCAGCUUGACACCUACCCAAAGAGACAAGAGUUGGAGAAUAAAGUCAGCCUAUCAUAAAAGUCAUAAAGGGCCAAAGAAUUAAAGCGUCAUUUGUGACUGGUUAUGAGCACAGAGCAGUCCACCGUGUAACAACGUUGUAAGCUGCGACGGUGGGUCCCAUUCACAAAAUCCACGUGUCAUAAUGGGAUGCUUAAGUGGCACAAGAGCGUCGAAAACGAGUGAUCGUCAACGUCGUUCUUGUUCUCAUUGAGCACCACGUGCCGCUAUCUUGAUCGUCAACGUCGAUGAAGCACCUCUCGCUGUCAAGCUUAUGAACUCAUGAUCGUUACCUUGUCGAUUUGUGCGGUUUAUGAGAUACUCUCAUUAUAUUUCAUUAAAUUACCACAAUGCCAUUAUAUUGCAAGAAUAAUAAAAUAAUUGUAAAAGCAGUAAUAUAUAGAUAUCUUUUGUACAUUACUUCAAGUUCAAAGGGAUGAAUACAAAAA